rnacentral:rRNA from 1 species
UACAGAGGGUGCGAGCGUUGUCCGGAAUUACUGGGCGUAAAGGGCGUGUAGGCGGUUUGUUAAGUCUGGCGUGAAAGCUCUCGGCUAAACCGGGAGAGGUCGUUGGAUACUGGCAAACUAGAGGAUGGUAGAGGCGUGUGGAAUUCCGGGUGUAGUGGUGAAAUGCGUAGAGAUCCGGAGGAACACCAGUGGCGAAGGCGACACGCUGGGCCAUACCUGACGCUAAAGCGCGACAGCAUGGGGAGCAAACGGG